rnacentral:ncRNA from 1 species
GUUCAAACGAGGAAGGGAUUAUGGUGGAUACCUAGGCACCCAGAGACGAGAAGGGCGUGGUAAGUGACGAAAUGCUUCGGGGAGUUGAAAAUGGGCAUAGAUUCAAAGAUUCGCGAAUAGGUUAAACUUUUUAACUGCUUCUUAAUCCAUGGGUAGGCAAGAGACAACUUGGUGAAAUAAAAAAUCUUAGUAGCCAGAGGAAUAGAAAGCAAAAUCGAUUCCCAUAGUAGCGGCGACAAAAAUGGGAGCAGCCUAAACCGUGAAAACGGGGUUGUGGGAGAGCACAAUAUAAGCUCUGUGCUGCUAGGUGAAGCGGUUGAGUCCUGCACCCUAUAUGGUGAGAGUCCAGUAGCCAAAAGAAUCAUUGGGUUACACUCUAACCUGAGUAGCAUGUGGCACAUGGAAUCCCAUGUGAAUAAACAAGGACCACCUUGCAAGGCUAAAUACUCCUGGGUAACCGAUAGCGAAGUAGUACCAUGAGGGAAAGGUGAAAAGAACCCCAUCGAGGAGUGAAAUAGAACAUGAAACCGUAAGCUCCCAAGCAGUGGGAGAAAAUUGAUAUCUCUGACCGCAUGCCUAUUGAAGAAUGAGCCGACGACUUAUAGGCAGUGGCUUG